GGGGAACGUCGGUGGUUUUUGAUUCACGGAGGUCAGCAGCUGCAUGAAGUACAUGCACAGCAGCCUCCCUGUUUCUGUGGGGGUUGGGAACAGCGUUUUGUGGCAAUUUAUGAUUGCAGAGUGAAUGUGUGACAUACGUUUCUCACCUGGGAGCCAACAGUGGCUUUGGCAGUUUGAUACGCAACAGUUGCUUCCAUUUCCAUUGGUAAUCCUAACACUGCUGCCCGAACUGCACGCUCAGCUUCCCAGAACCGCGUUGGAUUGACACUGGCUCAAGGAGUCCCAAGGCUCAGAGUGUGCCCACAUCCGACCUAGCCUUCUCAAGGCACAAAGGCUCCUGUUCAACUUGGUCCUUCCAGGCGUGAUCAUCCCAGGCUGCAGGAGAGCAGCAAAUGGCCACAGCACAUCGGUGUCAG
rnacentral:lncRNA from 1 species